GUAGCUCCCACAGAAAUGUUGACAUCUGCCAAGAAUCCGUUCUAAAUCUGCUCUUAAGAGCUGCAAAUGCUCAGGACUGAAGAUCACUUGCUAGAUACAGGCACAGAGAUUUACUCUUCUAGGCAUGGAUGGAGCCAAGAGACUGAAUGAAUCAUCCACCCCUUGGUACACUGUCUUCCAUGUUUUGUC